rnacentral:lncRNA from 1 species
AUGGGCCAGAGACUCUUAUUCUUAAUCUUCACAGCAAUCCUGAAGGUAACUGCUAGAUUUGGCCCCAUUUUGCAGAUGAAGAGACUGAGCAGCUCUGGAACUUGCCAGAGUCUGACUCAAGUUGUGGGAUUGCCGAGCUUAUUCUCUUCCACUGGUGAACAGGUCUACAGGGAGCAGCUUAUGAAGGUGGGCGGGGGUGGGGGGGGUGAAAACACUGGGAAAGAGGCAGAGGUUUAUCGUUCACUCCUUUGCCAGGUGCCCUUCCUUAUUUGCCUGACAGGUAAACUCCUACCUACACUUCUUGCCCCAGUUCAAAGGCCACCUCCUCUAGGAAGCCUGCCUUCCUUCACGUUGCAGUUAGUUGCACUUGCCCUGUGGUUCAUGUGUUGUCUUCCCCACUGGGAGGUUCCACACUGGAACAGGAGCUGGAGUUCCUUGAGUACAGGGCUGGGUCCUACUGAAGGGGCAUCCGCUGAGCGGGCUCAGCAAACUCAUAAGGGUGAGCUGAGCCUGUGCCACCCAGGCCAGAGGCGCCCCCACCCCGUAGGUUUUUCCUCCUCCUCUUCUUCUCCCUUCUCUUUGCUUUCCUUCUUCCUCCGCACUUGUCUCCUCCCUCCCUGCUCUGUGGUCCACCCGGUCCUAUCUUCGUUCUUCUCCCGCCCUCUUUCUCCCGCUCCUUGCGCCGCCCAGGGUCCGGAAGCUGCAGUUCCCCCAGAGGCCUACAGAGGGAGCUGCUGCGCCACCUGCGGGGCCGUACGGCUGCGGCGCGCGCUUCCUGUGAGGUCAGGUGGGAGGAAGCGGCCUGGGAGCCGCGGGGACUGGACGCUGCCGCCCGUAGGUGAGUGUCCGGGCCCUGGGCGCGGGGGAACGAGGGCGCAUCCCUCCCCUACCCCGGGCCUGGUCUCGGAGUCGGGCUCCGCGGCCCGGGCAGCGGCCUGUCCCACCGCGGCAGCAAGCCCAUCCCAUCCCCGUUCCCCGCCCCCAUCCCCCCUUAGUGUCAGGUGGAGGGAGGGCCCGCCGCACCCUCAGCCCACCCAGCGAGGCGGGGUAACAAAGCGCAAAAGGACUGCGGAGGACCCUUUGGACACGCUUGGCCUUCUGCAAGGGCCAGCAGGCUUCAAAAUGGGGACCCGCCAGCCCAGGCCACGGGCGUGA